CCUACGAUCUACAUACUAAAAAUAGACUGCAUAACCUGUACAUACUUCCAAUCAAACUCAAUUAUCAACGAAAUCGAGCCACUAAUUUAAAUGGGCAAAAAAGGAUUUGAUUAUGGUAACCAAUCCGAACACAAGGUAAUGGUGGCUCCCUGCUUGAGGUCGGUGAAACAUUGGGCAUGCCAUUUAUACGGCCCUCUCCAUCUGCAAGGGAGAACGACGAGACAACCACCAAAGAAAGUCAAAGUGUGACUGGGAUAUGGAGGAUACUUCUUCCCAGAAACCAUAUGGUAGGUACUAGACACAAUAAAUAAAUGAAAAAAAUAGAAGCUACUAUUCAACAAGAAAAAUCUCGGCCUAACUUCUGUGAUAACAAGUUCAGUUUGAAUGUGAAUUUUAGCCGACGACAGUAAGAAACAUUAAUAUGAACAGCUGAGGAACAUAUCCCUCCAGAAAUAUCAUCAAAUAAGAUUACUAAAAUGAUUAUCGCAGUUACAGUUAUGUCACUUGGUCUGCCCUACCUGAAGUCAUUAUCUGAGGCUACAAGGAGAUGGUUGUAGGAGGCACUUAGAUAAAGACAAUGUCUUCCCCUCCGACCAACACGGAAUCCGCUGCCUUCAGUCUGUCCUCGUUUUGCCAUUGUACUUCCUACCAUGCACCGAUUAUCCAUGACAGGCUGACAAGCGACGAAUCAGCUGGAGCACCACAUAGAAGUACAUCUGAUUCAUCAGGAAGCUACUUUUCUGUUUGAGAAAACCAUGUGAUAAACUCAUAAACAUGUUAACUCACUUGUACUGCUGCUCACACAUAGGACAUGAUAACUAUCACAAUAAACCUCCAAAACUAGCAACAACUUUGUCCAGCGUCUAUUGCCAAAAUCGAAGCUUCUCUUCUAGAUCGUGCAAUAAAUGCAACUAAAAUAUAAAGAGUAAUUUGCGCUGAUUGAAGUGCACACGUACCAUAGUAUAAAAUCCAUUGCAGCCUCCUGCUCCACUUGUGCCGUUAUCUAUAAAUCGAAUAAACCUCCAAUUAAGCAAUUCAACAAGCAUGGCAUGAGCACAAAACAGAAAUGAAUAUAUAGUUCAGUAAUUCUACGAAUUAAUCAAAUAGUGGAAUCCUAAUCGUAUUUUUUAAAUACAAAUAGAUCAAACAAAUAAGGACAUUGCUGGAGUUAUAGGAGGUUAAAAAAGAAAUGAUAGGAUGAGAAAUCAGGGCUCACCUGAAGCAACAGAGGUGAAAGCUGCAGACCAAGAAAGGAUGCCCCUGCCUCUCCCGGCAAGGAGCAUGCCUUCGUGAGGCGCCGACCUCAAAUCUGUCGCUGGAAUCUCCUGCCUUUGUUGGUUAGCCAUCUAAGUACAAAUUCCC
rnacentral:lncRNA from 1 species